UUUAUUAUUUAAAUAUGCUCAUAAUCCAUUUCAUAAAAUCCUUUUUUUAUAAUCGUUCAUACUUUUAUGAAAGUAAAACCAACGGAAAAUUCUCCCCUCAUUUACUUUUAUUUAUUAUUUAAGAUUUGUGCAUAUUAAUUAGAAAUGUAACACCCCUAUAUUUAUUAGUUCUAUACAUUUCACUGUUCCGGUGAUCAGUGUCUGCCCGGACAGUUGGAAUGUAUAAAAUCAUAUUUAAGUCACCUAAAAAAGUCACAAACAAAAAUUAAUAAUAAUUACAUGAAGGUAAAAUAGAAA
rnacentral:misc_RNA from 1 species